rnacentral:rRNA from 1 species
AACGAACGCUGGCGGCAUGCCUAACACAUGCAAGUCGAACGAGACCUUCGGGUCUAGUGGCGCACGGGUGCGUAACGCGUGGGAACCUGCCCUUAGGUUCGGAAUAACUCCCCGAAAGGGGUGCUAUACCGGAUAAUGUCUUCGGACCAAAGAUUUAUCGCCUUUGGAUGGGCCCGCGUUGGAUUAGCUAGUUGGUAGGGUAAAAGCCUACCAAGGCGACGAUCCAUAGCUGGUCUGAGAGGAUGAUCAGCCACACUGGGACUGAGACACGGCCCAGACUCCUACGGGAGGCAGCAGUGGGGAAUAUUGGACAAUGGGCGAAAGCCUGAUCCAGCAAUGCCGCGUGAGUGAUGAAGGCCUUAGGGUUGUAGAGCUCUUUUACCCGGGAUGAUAAUGACAGUACCGGGAGAAUAAGCUCCGGCUAACUCCGUG